CUCCUCAUGAGUGUGUGAUGAUCACUAAUAGAGGAGAAUCAGAAUGCAACCAACAGGCCAUUAGUCAUGAGAAAAAGAGAGAGUGAUUAAAAGCCAUAUAGAAGGAGAUAAAAUUCUUGUAUGAUAAUUGCACAUUUGAGUUAAUGAAACUAUCUAAGAGUAAGAGAGCACUCAAGAAUAAGUAGAUUUUCAGAUUGAAGAC
rnacentral:lncRNA from 1 species